GAUGAACGCUGGCGGCGUGCCUAACACAUGCAAGUCGAGCGGUAUAUACUGGAACGAAACUUCGGUCUAGAGAAGGUAUAGAGAGCGGCGGACGGGUGAGUAACGCGUAGGCAACCUGCCCCAUACAGAGGGAUAGCCUCGGGAAACCGGGAUUAAAACCUCAUAAUACGAAAGCUUCACAUGUUGCUUUCGUCAAAGAUUUAUCGGUAUGGGAUGGGCCUGCGUCUGAUUAGCUAGUUGGUGAGGUAACGGCUCACCAAGGCGACGAUCAGUAGCCGACCUGAGAGGGUAAUCGGCCACAUUGGAACUGAGACACGGUCCAAACUCCUACGGGAGGCAGCAGUGGGGAAUAUUGCACAAUGGGCGAAAGCCUGAUGCAGCAACGCCGCGUGAGCGAUGAAGGCCUUUGGGUCGUAAAGCUCUGUCCUUGGGGAAGAAAAAAUAGACGGUACCCAUGGAGGAAGCCCGGCUAACUACGUG
rnacentral:rRNA from 1 species